rnacentral:rRNA from 1 species
CCUACGGGAGGCAGCAGUGGGGAAUUUUGGACAAUGGGCGAAAGCCUGAUCCAGCCAUGCCGCGUGCAGGAUGAAGGCCUUCGGGUUGUAAACUGCUUUUGUACGGAACGAAAAGCCUCUUUCUAAUAAAGAGGGGUCAUGACGGUACCGUAAGAAUAAGCACCGGCUAACUACGUGCCAGCAGCCGCGGUAAUACGUAGGGUGCGAGCGUUAAUCGGAAUUACUGGGCGUAAAGCGUGCGCAGGCGGUUAUAUAAGACAGUUGUGAAAUCCCCGGGCUCAACCUGGGAACUGCAUCUGUGACUGUAUAGCUAGAGUACGGUAGAGGGGGAUGGAAUUCCGCGUGUAGCAGUGAAAUGCGUAGAUAUGCGGAGGAACACCGAUGGCGAAGGCAAUCCCCUGGACCUGUACUGACGCUCAUGCACGAAAGCGUGGGGAGCAAACAGGAUUAGAUACCCUGGUAGUCCACGCCCUAAACGAUGUCAACUGGUUGUUGGGAAUUCACUUUCUCAGUAACGAAGCUAACGCGUGAAGUUGACCGCCUGGGGAGUACGGCCGCGAAGGUUGAAACUUCAAAGUAGUUAGUUAGCGNGNGNGNGCGACGACGACGACGAGGAGGAGG